rnacentral:rRNA from 1 species
UACAGAGGGGGCAAGCGUCAUUCGGAAUUAUUGGGCGUAAAGGGCGCGUAGGCGGCUAUUCAAGUGACGGGUGAAAGCCCUCGGCUUAACCGAGGAACUGCCUGUCAGACUGAAUAGCUUGAGACCGGGAGAGGUGAGUGGAAUUCCCAGUGUAGCGGUGAAAUGCGUAGAUAUUGGGAGGAACACCAGUGGCGAAGGCGGCUCACUGGACCGGUACUGACGCUGAGGCGCGAAAGCGUGGGGAGCAAACGGG